UGACGAGGAAUUCAAUUCUAAUUUUCAAUAGUUUCAUCGGCACAGAAGCUUGCGCGGUUACAAUGCGUCAGUCGUUUUUUAUUGUAAAGCUUCCCUCAAUGAACUCGGUUAUCGAAAUAGCGUUUCUCUCUUACAGUUUUAAGCUUUGUAUCACUACAUUGAUUACAUACAUACAUUUGGGAAUGCUAUUACACGUACUUAUCUAUUAAUGUUAAAUUUGUUUGUUUCUUUGUUUUUUUCUAUUGAGAUUCAAGGGAUUGUGACGCGCAAUACAUAGCCUAUCCAAUCCAAAUGUCAACCUCACCUACGCGCGGUGAAUCUUGUUAUUGUAUAUAGCAGACGAGGCUCUGGCGAUUUUUAAAAGAUUACUAAAUCACAAGGAAAAAAUUAGAAACUCAAAAAGCAUCCAAAAAUGUUUGAAGAUUUUGGCCCUGCAGCUAAUCGAGGCUGCCAUAUGGACCAUAAAAAAAUAUCAAAAUAUUUAAAAGAAAUAUAACAGUAAUAUUAAUUUGACUACUACCGAUCUGUGCCGUGAGAACUCUUAAGAAAUGGACACUAACUAGAUGACGAGAGAGAGAAACACAAACGUAAUGGAUACCAGUAAAGAUAUGUGUUUUCUCUUAAGGCCUAUAUUUCUCAAAUAGUUUCUAGCGAAUGUUACUAUAUUUGCGACUCUUAACAGCAUGCGGAUUCACAGCAAGCCGCAACCUGCUUGACACGGAUCGAAUCAAGCGAACAUAAAAAAUGCACAGCUCUAAUAGAGAGCAGUAAAAAUAUUAUUAUAUUUUGUUUUUUGAAAAUCGACUUGGCAUCGUUACGAAAAAUCCACAAAAUAUUAUAAUUUGUUGCAAGGCAAGGCGCUAAAUAUAAUUUGUGAAAUACUCUUGGCGUAAUUCCUUCGGUCAUAACCACACACACAGGAAACCUAUACCGAUUUGCCGGCUGCAGUGACCAAGGGUCGAAAGCACAAAAGCUAUGUUAAAGAUCAUUAAUAUUAUUAGUGUUGUUGUAGUCCACUAAAUAUACUUCGUUACACACUAUUGGAGACAUAAUGCCAUCAGAUGAAUGAAAUGGAAACUAUGUCAUACACCUUUAUAUAUGAUGCAUCCAUUGAGACAAUCGACGCAAAAGAAGGCAAAAAGGCAAACAAUUAUAUUAUUGAUGUUACGUACUAAUAAUAAUUGAAGAGUGGCAGUUUUUUAUUUGGCUAUGACUACAGCUUACUCGCUUCACUUAUAUUCAAAUGAAACAUUUGUGGAAUCCUGCUAUGGUAUUUAAUCGAUACAUAACAGAGAUCACUUUGGUCACGUUAAACCAAAAAAUACAGUUAUGUGAGCGAUACUGCUAAAGUAAGAGUGCCUUUGGGUUAUAAAUGGAAGUCGUUUUCAUUUUAAAGACCCGGCUUUCUUGAAACAAACUUAAGAUAAAGGCUAAGCCUUCUUGCUUUCCCGUAAACGAGCUCAAUAACCCUCGGUCUGUUAUAGUUCUAAUUCGUUCCGGUUACCUAUACCUGGUAACCGGGGAUCCUUCACAUCAUAAACAAAAAAAAUAAAAAUAUUUUCCUGGAGAAAAGCACGAAGAUUUGUGCUGCGCUACAUAAUACUUUAUAAAGUUUUCCGACACCGUCCGCUGCUAUUACUGUUUCGUGCUUUAAAUCAUAAAACUAUAGAAAAAAUUUCAAAAGCUGAAUAUAGAAGACACUAGUAAACUCCCGAAGCUCGAAAAAUUUUCUAAGGAUUAACUUAAUAAUGAAGUGCAGAACACCGUUAUAACGAUCAUAGACAUGAAUCCUUCAGGAACUCCAUCAUAAAUAUAAACAGCGCCUAAGAACUAUCGAAAAUGAUUUACUGAGUGUACAAGUGUGAAUACAACCCUACGAGAUAAAUUCACCAUAACCUACAAUGUGGAAAUUUUAGUAAAUAACAUGCCUUAAUGAAUAUCAACUAUAUCACAUACAUCUACAAAUAAAAUCAACAAGCAUAAGGUAACGAUAGAUAUAAGUAUUUAGAAAGCGACGGAAGAAAACAAAAUUAAAAAAUAUUACUUAAAAUUAAAAAAAAAAAUUUAGAAAAUGUUUUGAUGACAAAUUAGGUAAAAAACAUAAUUUAAGUACAAAAACUGAGGCUAGAGUUUUGUAAAACGUUAA